CUCUGUGCUAGAUCCAAACAUCUUUCAACUCUGUGCUAGAUCCAAACAUCUUUCAACUCUGUGCUAGACCCAAACAUCUUUCAACUCUGUGCUAGAUCCAAACAUCUUUCAACUCAGCACUAGACCCAAACCUCUUUCAACUCUGUGCUAGACCCAAACAUCUUUCAACUCUGCACUAGACCCAAACCUCUUUCAAAAGGGGAAGUUCUACCCCAGACAGCUCUCUCAAGCUUCACAGGUCCCCUUUUCAUUUCAUUUAAGUUUCUCUAACUUCUCUAAAGGUAGAGAUGAAUGUUCUCACAUUCCCCACUAUCACUGACCCGUGGAGAACGCUAAACAAACCUGCAGUGUAUGUUUGCAAAGUGUAAAUAUCUGGGCGUCAAUUCAGAAAUGACAAUACAGUCCAGAUUUGCUUCCCUUCUGUUAAUUUUACGCUCUUGAGGUGAGUGUUUACACAGGUGCAGAGUAGAUCCCCCUUUUUUUAUUUGAAGAAAUGGUAGCUCCAUUUAUCUCUCCAGACAUCCCUCAUGCAUGACAUCUCUCUCCUUCCACGUUCCCAUGUGUUCCUGUUUAUAUGAGGUGUGUGUAUUGGUUUAUUUUUUUUUAGUUUAACAUUUUGACCAUUUUGUUUUACUUUUUUCCUGCUCACCGGUAAACCCAUCUCAGUUACAUAGGUGAGCAGGGGGAUGAUGGGAAAUGUAGUUCUGAGAGGUCUAAUGCGGGUACAUGGGAAGCAGGGAAUGCAAUUUAUAAGUUUACAAAAAGUGGUCAAAAUGGCACCACCCUUUGUUGAAAUGCUGCUGUUCGCUUUACCACAGAACGUUUACACAUUUACAAAAUAUUACAUUUCUAGACCACCAAAUUCCCAACAGGAGCUACAAAAACUAUCCCCCAUAAAUCACUGCCUGGUUGCGUGUAGCACUGACAGCGCCAGACCUUUCUCUGGAGGUGUUUCAGUCCAAACUGCAGGGGCCUCCCCUGCAGCUCCAAGAAAACGACACACAGUUCUAUUGCUACAGGGGGGAUGUUGUCAUGGCUACAGAUCUAUCUGACAUCCCUCAGAGUUCAUGUAAAGUUGUUAGCUGCAAUAACGUCUAGUCCAGCCAAGACUGGCCUUAAAUCCAGUCUUACAUCAGUUGUGUUUUGGGGCUUGCUGUACAGUGACUGUCGCCGGUCUGAAGGAUUUAAUAUGAGUUGGAGGGUGACUUGUGUGUUCAUGGUAAGAACACCACACUCGCUACACCUCCAGUAAUGACUUAGAAAAGUGCCUAAGGCAUUUCAGCUGCUACGGCAGUGACAUUCCAAAUGAAAUCAGAAGCCCGGUCACUAGAAACACAGGCAUGUGUUGUACAAGCCCAAUUAACCACCUGCUGGCAUCGAACUAAACACAGACAAAUAUAAGCACCCUACUCCUACCUCCUGAUAAUAAUCAAAUCCAUGCUGUUGUUAUGAUAUUAAAUAUAAUGUCAAAAACAUGAAAAUGUUUCCACUUGGACCCUGCCAAGACACACCCGUCCCUUUAUAGCUGCCGUCGCGCUUUACCAUUGAAUUAUCUUGCAAACUGUGGAUUGGAGACUCCAGUGAGAACACACCCAGGUGGAAUUUUCACUGCGUUCCAUUGAAGAUUCUUUGGCAAGGAUUCUAUUAGAAUCAAAGGUAAUCAAUGACACCUUCAAGGGGGGCACCAGCCAGGUAUUUUGCACAGGUGUUUUCAGGACUGUAAAAGGAGAACCGUCUGGGAUGACUGCAGUGUGGAGACAAUGGGCCGGGCCCUGAAGGCAGGCUCUCUGAAUGCUCUCCCGUGCAGCUCCCCUUUCCAGAUAGCUCUUCCAGGCCAGGCCAGGCCAGGCAGUCUGAUACCAGCUGUCACUCCUUUCAUCACAGCACAAUUAAUGAUUGCAGAAGGAGCUGUGUGAAGCCUGCAAGGCAUCAGGGAUAUUAAAGUUUUUAUCAAAGAUACAGCAGUAACCCCCCCUUACAUUUAUAAACACUGAUGUGUUAUUAAAUUAACUGUAGAGGUUAUAUUGGUUUGAUUCAGUAAUGUUGGUGGAACAAAGACCAGAAGACCUCAGAGGCUGCUCUAGAUCAUACAUCACAGAAAUGUAUUGUACUCUGUGUGCUUCAAUACAGUAUGCCUCUAUAUUGUGAAUCUGUUAACCUGGGAUAAUACGAUGCAGAGCAGUUUGGAUAAUGAUGCAGCGAUUAAUCAAUUACUCCUCAAUCGAUUGCCAUGACUUUUAGUUCGCGAGGCUCAUCCACACAUUCGUUGAUCAAUUAAUCACCCUGGUGGUGCCCUGUUUGGAGCCUCGUGGUCAUGUAUCCAUUGAAGUGACUGACACAGACAGUUACAUCGUCUCAAAAGUGUUACAGCAAGCAUGUCGUUUCAGAACAGGCUGGUGCUGAGUUAGAUUCAGAAGUUUAGAGUUUGUUAGUAUUCAUUUCACCCCCAGCAGUGUCUUCUGGGUUGAAGAAUGUAACUGGCUGACAGCGGUGUCAGUCAUUAGGGGAGGCAGCUGAUUGGUUACUGACAGUGAGGGGUGAAACGACCCGGGAAGCUACAACGUGUGGCUUUGUCACAACUGCCCUUCCGAUAUCUAAUGAAUGAAUGUGCAUGGCGGGGAAAACGUACUCUUUUGCGGGCUGCAAUUACUGUAGUGCAACCAGCUCCCCAGGGGGGGUCUUAAUGGUAGAUAUUGAUUGUGCGGCAGUUUCUGGAGACGGGAUUGGUUUAAAAUGCGGUCUGGGACGGAGAUGCAAGUUAACAUUAUUAAUCAGAUCUGUUCUUGUUCCACCUGCAGAUUCUGUCUCACUGAGAGCCCAGAUUACAUUAGCGUUAGCCGGGCUGUACAGGCAGUUAUUCCAUUUAGAAGAGCCGCAGAGUCGUAAAUCCAGCCGGGAAAUGAAUUAGGGGCUGACAAACCGGUACCGAGCACCUCCUCAACCUGCUGACCUGCUGUGUCCCUGCCCACAAGCUGAGGUCCUUCGACUCUGACCUACUUGUUACCCCCAAGCGAAAGUGCACCACGCUUAGAGAGCG